GCUUGUCUCAAAGAUUAAGCCAUGCAUGUCUAAGUAUAAGCAAUUAUACAGCGAAACUGCGAAUGGCUCAUUAUAUAAGUUAUCGUUUACUUGAUAGUGCCUUACUACUUGGAUAACCGUGGUAAUUCUAGAGCUAAUACAUGCUGAAAAGCCCCGACUCACGAAGGGGUGUAUUUAUUAGAUUCAAAGCCAAUGCCCUUCGGGGCUCUUUGGUGAUUCAUGAUAACUAAACGAAUCGCACGGCCUUGCGCCGGCGAUGGUUCAAUCAAGUUUCUUCCCUAUCAACUUUCGAUGGUUGGGUAUUGGCCAACCAUGGUUGCAACGGGUAACGGAGGGUUAGGGCUCGACCCCGGAGAAGGAGCCUGAGAAACGGCUACUACAUCCAAGGAAGGCAGCAGG
rnacentral:rRNA from 1 species